UCUUGAACUUUCUGAAGGCCCCUGAUCGGCUGGCAGUCUGUUUUAGAUGUCUAGCGUGAGCUCCGCCCUAGGCCAGUUGAACCCAAAAGUGAUCCUUUUGCUGUGGUUUAGCUCAGGCACAGAGAGAGUCUGCUUCAUUCAGACAAGGCGAAGCAAGCACCGGAAUGCCUCAGGACGCUUUUAAACCAGAUACACCUGUGCAGACUCAACAAACUGGAACAGUUUCACAAUUUUGUUGUUCAAGAGUUAAGCAGUAUUGAAAAGGAUAUGCAGGCUCUGAAUGAACUUGAGGAGAAUGUUCUGGGAUUCUGGGGGAAGCAGUCUGCUGAUUUGAAAUCCUUCUGCGAUCUUCAGGUGCUGAGACUUACCCCCAUGCACCCUUCAUAAGCAAAGUGGGAGCCCAGAGGGAUCGAUGCCUCUCAGGCUCUGGAAGAGGAAGAGAACCGCCGAGUCACUGUUGGCUCCACCCACGUGCAGCUUGCUUGAGUCCUUGAUGUGGCUGCCUUUUCUUCCACCCCCACCAGGAUCCUGGGAACUGCUGAGUCGGACUAGAAUAUCAUGUUGAUAGUUGGCAUUUGUUCGAGUAUCCAUUUGUUCACAAAGAGUUAAACUCU